UGGCGAACGGGUGAGUAACACGUGAGUAACCUGCCCUUGACUUUGGGAUAACUUCAGGAAACUGGGGCUAAUACCGGAUAGGAGCUCCUGCUGCAUGGUGGGGGUUGGAAAGUUUCGGCGGUUGGGGAUGGACUCGCGGCUUAUCAGCUUGUUGGUGGGGUAGUGGCUUACCAAGGCUUUGAUGGGUAGCCGGCCUGAGAGGGUGACCGGCCACAUUGGGACUGAGAUACGGCCCAG
rnacentral:rRNA from 2 species